GACCACCCUCACGGCAGAGAAUUAUCAGGCCUGAAAUGUAGAUAAUGCCAAGGUUGAGAAACUCUGUUUUAAGUAAUUUAACAAAUAUUAACUCGUUUAACCAUCACGACCACCCUUGAGACAGAUAAGGGGCUUGCCCAAUGUAAUCUAUCUAAUGGGGAGGCCAGGCCAAAGGGAGACAAAUGUAAGCAUUACAGAGAGGAGCUAUUACAUUAAUACUAGCCUAAGUAAAAUUCAAGGUAAGAUUUUUAUAAGGAGGAUUUUUUUUUUUUUUUCUUUAAGGAAUGGUAUAAUUCCCAGUGGAAAUAUUUUUGUUGUGAAACUUUGGACACUAAAUAAUAUAACCCUGAAAUAUAUAAAGCGAUUGUUGGACAUGUAGGAAAUAAUUGAAAUAUAAUAGUAGGUUUUUUUGUAAACAGCCUUAUUGAAGUAAAGUUGAUAUAAAAUAAAUUGUACAAAUUUUAAUUUAAUAAUAUAUAUAUAAUUUCAUAAAUUUGAUAUAUGUUCGAUCCCUGGCCUUGCUCGGUGGGUUAUGGAUCUGGCAUUGCCAAGAGCUGUGGUUUAGUCAGACGCAGCUCGGAUCCUGCGUUGCUAUUUCUGUGGUGUUGCUGCAAAAAAGAUAAUGAACAUGUCUAUCACUCCAAGCUUUCUCCUUCCUUUAUAAUGUAUAAUUCUUCCUUCCACUCCCUUGCUGGUCCUUCCUCCAAUCCUAAUCAACCUUUGAUCUGCCUUCUGUCACUGUAGAUUAGUUUGCAUCUUCUGCAGUUUUGUGUCAGUGAGCUCAUACCAUAUAUAUCUUUGUGGGGUAUCUUUUCUUUUGCUUGGGAUGUUAAUUUUGUGGCUCACCCAUGCUGUUGCAUGUAUCAGCAGUUCAUCCCUUUUUAUUGAUAGAUGGUGUUCCAUUGUAUGGCUAUGCUUCUAUGUGUUUAUCCCAUUCACCUUUUGAUGGACACUUGGUUGUUUGCAGUUUUGGGCUAUUACAAAUAAAGAUACUAUAAACAUUCCUGAACAAGUCUUUGUAUGGACAGAUGCUUUUGUUUUUCUUGGGUGAAUACCUAGGAAUUUGGUUCAUGUGGUUAAGUGUAUAUUUAAUAGUUCAAGAAACUGCCAAACUGUUUUUCAAAGGUAUUGUCCCAUUUUCCAUUCCCACGAGCUGUGUCAGAGGGUACCAGUUGUUCCACAUCCUCUCCGGUAUUUGUUAUGGUGAGUCUUUAUCAUUUUGACAUUCUAGUAGAUGUAUGGUUAUCCUAAUAUGUUUGGGCCGCUAUGAUAAAAUACUAUAGACCUGGUAGCCUAUAAACAAAAGAAACUUCUCACAAUUGUGGAGCCUGGAGAGUCUAAGAUCAAGUCUUCUGCAAGGUUGGGUUCCAGUGAGGACUUGUUACCGGGUUCAUAGAUGGCUGUAUUUCCACCGUAAUUUCAUGUGGUAUAAGAGGCAAGGCAGUUCUUUGGGAUCUCUUUUAAAAGAGCACUUUUCCCAUUCAUGGGGGCUCUACCAUCAUGACCUAAGCACCCCCCAAGGGCCCUACCUUCUAAUACCAUCACCUGGGGGUUAGGAUUUAAACACCUGGAUAUUGAGGGGACAUAAACAUUCGGACAUAACAAUAGUGGUAUCUCAUAUUCUCUUAUGUAAAUGACUAAUGGUGUUGAAUACCUUUUCCUGUGCUUAUUUAUCAUCUAUAUAUCUGCAAUUGAACUGUACUUCCAUUUAAAAAGAGAAAUCUUUGCUUAGAGAAAGGCAGAAAGGUCUUAUUCUAUGUUUUCCUCUAGAAGUUUUAGAGUUCUAGAUCUUUAAAUUUUAUGAUCUGUUUUAAGUUCAUUUUUAUAUAUAGUAUGAAAUCUCCUGUCCUCCUUCUAUUCUGUUGUGGUCAGCGAAACCCUUUCAGUCAGGGUACCACAGCAGCUGCUGUUCACGUCCAGUUCCCACUGGUUGACUGGGAGCCUUCUUUUAUCUCCCCUAAACAGCUUGACCUAGUUCAUGUCAGCCAGAAUAAACAGUUUAUGUGAUGAUUAGUUUAUUUGGCUAAAUCACUAGGGCAGGGUGACGUGGAAGAAAGUUGUAUACUUGCUAGGGACUGGAUGAUGUUAAAAGCAAAACCAAACACAUGAUCCUCCCCAAACUCUAGAAGUGCUAUACACUCUGUCCUAUCCUGCACUUCUUAAAUCAUGGAACAAGUAAGGAUUUUUUUUUUUUUUUUUUUUUAGUUCUGUGGCAGAUGUAAUGGGUCCAUAGUGUCAUCCUGUCAUAAUUGACUCUCCUUGUUUAGGAAAUGAGGGGCAAGUGUUGUUGUUGCUGUUUUAAAUUUAUUUUCUUUUUUUUCCCUCUGACCAUUAUUUAUUUAUUUAUUUAUUUAUUUGGUUUUUUUUGCCACUGUUAGGGCUGCUCCCUCGGCAUAUGGAGGUUCCCAGGCUAGGGCUCGAAUUGGAGCUGCAGCUGGGGCCUACAUAGCAAUGCAGGAUCCAGGCUGCAUCUGUGAGCUAUGCUGCAGCUUGCUACAAUGCUGGAUCCUUAACUGACUGAGCAAGGCCAGGGAUCAAACCUGCAACCUCACAGAUGCUGUGUUGAGUUCUUAACCUACUGAACUACACUGGAAGCUCCUUCAAAGAGGUGUUGGGCAAGCAAUUUUGAGGUGCUGUUUUUCUUAUCUUUAAGUGUAGAACAUCUUUUGGGGAAGAGGCAUGCAGGCAUUGCUGUGCCCAGAGAACAAUAGGCAGUAAUCCUAAUCUGAUAAUUUCAUUUCCUUCUCUGAGACAAGAAAUAUUAUGAAAUGAUGAAGGGUGUCCAUAUUUUUCUGAAGGUUUCCCAAAGUACUGCUUUCCUCAAGUCAGUCUUGGGACAGUGAUUAAAUUGGAUUUGAUUCGAUCAAAUCUAUCCAGUUUUCUUGACUCUUUACUGAGCAAUUAGCUUUUCAUUUUCUCAGUAUUUCCUUUUUCAGAAUAGGCUCUUGCCCUCAUCUUUGCAAAACCAAAGAGUGUUUUUUUCAAAACAAUCAGUGUGUUAAAAGUGAAGUAAUCCUCUAUUUCUGGAGAAAUAGAAAAAGUUCUUAGUUUUAAAAUGGCAAAUUUUCUUACUCCCAGUCCUUAGGGUUUCCAAAAAAAUUGAAGUUUAAUUUUAUUGAGGACACUGUUAUAAUGGGUAAAGCAUGAUACAUUUGAGUUAAAAAAUUAAAAAAGCAAAAUAUGGUUCUAAUUUUUUAAAAGUAUAUACAAACACAAAGAUUAUAAAACAGGGAAAUUCCAUUACAGACUGUUAAAGCUGUGUUUUGGUUUACAAAGGUUUAUUUUGGUUUACAAAGCUAUGUUUUAUGUUAAAUUUACUUUCUGAAUUGUCUAGUUGGAAGAAACUGUUAGAAAGAUGAUUAUUUUUGUCUUUAUCAAAAGCACUCUUGAAAUUAGACCUCAGUUUUUUUUGGUGGGGGGGGUGGGACGCGCGGGGACCCUUGAUGUCGAAAUUUCCAAUUUUAAAAGUCUUAAGGCUAGCCUACCUGGGUAUUAGUCAGUUCUCAGUUCUGCAACUAAUUAGUUGUGUGACUUUGGACAAGUAUGUAACUUUUCUGUGGCUCAUUUUCUUCAUCUGUAAAAUAGGGGUAAUUCUAAUGACUAGAAGGUAACAGGUUGACAGAAUAUUCUGAUGGCUUUGAUAAGGGGUGUGUGUGUGUGUGUGUGUGUGUGAGAGAGAGAAAGAGAGAGAGGGAGAGAGGGAGGGCGAAUACUAGCAAGGGAAAUUGAAAAGGGUCUGCCUUCAGGGUAGGAAGGAACCAGGAGAGUGUGGUCUUUAGAAACCAAAGUAGUUUGUAAUCAAUUGAAUUAAAUGCUACUGUCAAGUAUAUUAAGUCAAAUUUAUAGCUACUGUUGGAUUUAGCCAUUCAGCAGUGAUUGGUGACUUUGAGGAGAGCAAUUUUGGUGGAGGGGUGUGGACAAAAGCCUGAUUGGAAUGGUUUCAAGAGAGAAUGGAAGGAGAGAAAAAGAGCAGCAAAUAUGGACAUUAAGGAAAACUUUAUGCACUAAAAAAGAUUAGCAGUAUGUAAUGCCUUUGGAAUAACAUGAGACACUUAUUGAGCCCUAACUGUGUGACAGAUGCUGUUUUCGGUACUUGUAUUAACUUUUUUUUUUUUUUGUCUUUUUUUUUUUCAGGGCCGCACCCGUGGCAUAUGUAGGUUCCCAGGCUGGGGGUCUCAUAGGAGCUGUAGCUGCCGGCCUACACCAGAGCCACAGCAAUGCCAGAUCCGAACCUUGUCUGCGACCUACACCAUAGCUCACGGCAACGCUGGAUCCCCAACCCACUGGGCGAGGCCAGGGAUCGAACCUGCAACCUCAUGGUCCUAGUCGGAUUCAUUUCUGCUGAGCCACAACUGGAACUCCAUACUUGUAUUAACUUUUUAAUGAGGAAUAAGAAAUAUAGUUGGUCCUUGCUGUGCAUGAUAGUGCAAGACCACACACACUAAAACCAUCUAAAGCGAUCUUGCAAAUCAGUGGGAAAAAUUACAAUGUUCUGUGACCUGUAAAAUUUGUUGUCAAAACAUUCAACAUUUUAAGUAGGUUGGUUAUUAAUGUGUUGGGAGGUGAAAAAAAUAAGUGAAACUCAAAUUUAUAGCACAUGCGAUUUAAAACAUUAGAAAUAUUAAAGAUCGAAAAAGUGUUUUGUUCAGCUGCAACACCAAGAUUAGUUUGAAGAGUGCUUGCCUUUGUGGAUCAGCUUCCAGCAUUUUAGCCUUUCCUCUUUAGUGUUGUGAAAUAUUUUCCAGAGUUCAUUUAAUGUGAAGUCUUGCCGGAUGUCACUCCCUCUGGGACAUCUCAUCUUUUUCUUUGCAACCACUUCCUCAGUGAUGUUUGUUAAUCCGCCUUCACCAAAUCCCUCAGGAUGCAUCUCUGUCCUUCUGUGGGGCUGGGUCUGAGUGUGCUCUGCUUUCUAGUCUAAAAUGUGCCAGAGU
rnacentral:lncRNA from 1 species